AAUCAAAACAGUGCAGUUGGGCAGAAAGGAGGGAGAAAGAGAUCCCAAACGCAGUGCGCAGCUUUUGGCCUUGCGGGUUUCGGAAUCCUGCUCAUUCACUCACAGGCCACACCGGAGGUUUUCUUCUAAAACGGACUCAUACACACAGUAGGUGAGUUUUUCUUCCAGUACUGCUUAUAUAACAUGUUGAAUUUGCUCUAUAAACCAAUUCACCAUGGGAGUUAUUGUACCCUUAGAGCCCCCCAGAAAUUAUACACUGCUAAAACCCUCCCAUUGUUAAUAUUAAGAUACAUUUCAAGCACUUCAAAUCAACACUCAUUCACAGUCUCAUACCUCAUAAACACAUGUGGGUUCUCACGGGAAGGUGCUAUAUCAGCCUCCAAACGUGUUAACUUUGAAACCCCAGAUAAAGCAGACUUGGUCAUUAGCUUUUUCAAGCACCAUGGUUUCUCACAAACCCAAAUCUCAAGCAUCAUCAGAAGAUACCCUCCACUGCUGCUAUCAAAUCCUCAAAAGACCCUUUUGGCCAAAUUGGAGUUUUUCCAAUUCAAAGGCUUUACAAGCUCUGACAUUGUUAUGAUCUUAACUAGAAAUCCAAACUUAUUGAAACGAAGCUUGAAAAACCAAAUAAUCCCUUCUUUUGACUUCUUUAAGAAUUUGCUUGGAACUGAUGAAAAAACUGUUAUUGCUGUUAGACGUUUCUCGGCUAUUCUUGUUGAUAAAGACACUCAUGUAGUUCCUACUGUCAAUCUUCUGAGAGAAAAUGGAGUUCAUGAAUCAGAUAUAUGUACCCUAAUUAAAAAUUGGCCGAGAGUUAUUACAACAGAUCAAGUUCGAUUCAAAGAGAUUGUAGAGGAAGUCAAGGAAAUGGGAAUCAAUCCUCUGAGGGUAAGUUUUGUUCAGGCUGUUUUAGCAAUUAGGGGAAUGAAUAAAUCCACAUGGGAGAGGAAGGUCAACGCUUAUAAGAGAUGGUUUGUCUGAGGAUGAGAUUCUUGUAGCUUUUGCAAAGAACCCCUGCUGUUUCAGGGCAUCUGAGGAUAAGAUUAUGAGGGUGAUGGAUUUUUUGGUCAACAAGAUGGGUUUGGAGGCUUCCCUUAUUGUCAAACGCCCUACAUUUAUUAGUUUGAGCUUGGAGAAGCGACUUAUUCCAAGGGUUUCGGCGAUUCAAUUUUUGCAGUCUAAAGGUUUGGUUAAGAAGAAUUUUUACUUGCCUACGGCGUUUGAGUAUGUGGAGGAGUUGUUUUUGCAGAGGUUUGUGUUGCCUAAUAAGGAGGAAGCUUCUGAGUUGUUGCAGUUAUACAAGGAAAUAAUGGAUUUUCCAGAAUGACUAGUGAACAUAUGAUGAUAAAUAUGAGCCAAUAAAUGAGAUGAAGCAGUUGUGGAGUGCUCAUAUUGUGUGUAAUGUUUCACUUGUCGAGUGAGUUACUUGAUCCAAUUACACUCUUUGGUAUUGAAACUUUCUCCAAAUCAGAUCCAAAAUUGGAACUGGUCCAAAUUCCAAACUGUUGGUAAAGGCCUAGUGCUUGUUUCACUGAGCUUGGAGAAGUGAAUCAUCACAAGGUUUGGUUAGGCUGAAUGGUUUUUUUUUUUCCCUUAUUUGUUGAGCUAGUCAUCUUUUUGAGGAUCCUGAAAAGUAGUUUCUAGAAAGCUGGGAACUGUAACAAUGAAGCUUCCUAGCUGUUGAAAAUAUAUUGAUGCUAGGGGAAAUUUAUAAGGGGGAGAGAUCAGUAGAUGCAGCAGUUAUUGUAAAAUGUUAUUCAAUGGAACAGAAUUGCAUUAUAGGUCCUCGAUUGUGUGGUGUUACUUGAUCC